AUUGAACGCUGGCGGCAUGCCUUACACAUGCAAGUCGAACGGUAACAGGUCUUCGGAUGCUGACGAGUGGCGAACGGGUGAGUAAUACAUCGGAACGUGCCUAGUAGUGGGGGAUAACUACUCGAAAGAGUGGCUAAUACCGCAUGAGAUCUACGGAUGAAAGCAGGGGAUCGCAAGACCUUGUGCUACUAGAGCGGCCGAUGGCAGAUUAGGUAGUUGGUGGGAUAAAAGCUUACCAAGCCGACGAUCUGUAGCUGGUCUGAGAGGACGAUCAACCACACUGGGACUGAGACACGGCCCAGACUCCUACGGGAGGCAGCAGUGGGGAAUUUUGGACAAUGGGCGCAAGCCUGAUCCAGCAAUGCCGCGUGCAGGAUGAAGGCCUUCGGGUUGUAAACUGCUUCUGUACGGAACGAAAAGCCCUGGGUUAAUACCCUGGGGUCAUGACGGUACCGUAAGAAUAGGCACCGGCUAACUACGUGCCAGCAGCCGCAGUAAGAC
rnacentral:rRNA from 1 species